ACCUAGCUGGCUCAGUUGGAAGACCACUGGACUCAUAAUCUUGGGGUUGUGAGUUUGAGUCUCAUGUUGGGUG
rnacentral:tRNA from 1 species